rnacentral:rRNA from 1 species
AGAAAGGCCUUCGGGGUUGUAAAGCACUUUCAGUAGGGAGGAAGGUAGUGUAGUUAACACCUGCAUUAUUUGACGUUACCUACAGAAGAAGCACCGGCUAACUCCGUGCCAGCAGCCGCGGUAAUACGGAGGGUGCGAGCGUUAAUCGGAAUUACUGGGCGUAAAGCGCAUGCAGGCGGCCUGUUAAGUCAGAUGUGAAAGCCCGGGGCUUAACCUCGGAAUUGCAUUUGAAACUGGCAGGCUAGAGUCUUGUAGAGGGGGGUAGGAAUUUCAGGUGUAGCGGUGAAAUGCGUAGAGAUCUGAAGGAAUACCAGUGGCGAAGGCGGCCCCCUGGACAAAGACUGACGCUCAGAUGCGAAAGCGUGGGGAGCAAACAGGAUUAGAUACCCUGGUAG